CCGACCCGUCCGGGAGGUGAGGGGCGCCUCUGCUCGGCCGCCCCUACUGGGAAGUGAGGAGCCCCUCUGCCCAGCCAGCCGCCUCGUCCGGGAAGGAGGUGGGGGGGUCAGCCCCCCACCCGGCCAGCCGCCCAGUCCGGGAGGGAGGUGGGGGGGUCAGCCCCCCGCCCGGCCAGCCGCCCCACCCGGGAGGUGAGGGGCGCCUCUGCCCAGCCGCCCCUACUGGGAAGUGAGGAGCCCGUCUGCCCGGCCACCACCCCGCCUGGGAGGUGUACCCAGCAGCUCAUUGAGAACGGGCCAUGAUGACAAUGGCGGUUUUGUGGAGUAGAAAGGGGGGAAAGGUGGGGAAAAGAUUGAGAAAUCGGAUGGUUGCCGUGUCUGUGUAGAGAGAGGUAGACAUGGGAGACUUUUCAUUUUGCUCUGUACUAAGAAAAAUUCUUAUCCUGUUGAUCUGUGACCUUACCCCCAACCCCGUGCUCUCUGAAACAUGUGCUGUGUCCACUCAGGGUUAAAU
rnacentral:lncRNA from 1 species